UUUUGAGGUCUAAUGUCCCUCUCUUACUCUUCUUAUGGUGUAAUGUCGAAUAGCAACCUGCACUAUGCUCAUGUCCCACAGACCUACUAGUCCACGCUCCAACCAAACUCCAAGAGGCAUUGCAGACAGCGGUGAUGGCAGUGAGCAGCAUCAGCUCCUUUUUGUGAGCAGCUCCCACGCCGGCUUCAUGCAGGAGUUAGCUGAGGACAUUCCCUUGAAUGGACGGCAUCUGGGCUGUGCCUGUACCCUCACGGGGAAGGAAUUCGGGGUGGAGCCUGGAGAAACAAUCCCAGCUUCGUAGUGGUGAUUAAAACGGCCGUUAGAUUACAGCACCGGAUCAGGAUGGAUUUAGGCCAACUCAGCAAGGAACUGUGGAGAGGCUCAGAGGCUGCAGAUGCCGAUAUAGCACAACCAUCCGCUUCCUCCCCCAUCCCCACUAUAGUCUAAUGUUGAUUUCUAAAUGUUAGUGACAGCUUAAUUCUUUGAGUGUACAAUUGGCAGUUUUCUUCUGUCAUUAAUCAUAACGACUCUGGGCUGCUGGCAAGAGCUGAUAGAGUGAGGCUGGAGUUUCCCAAGAAGCAUCACAGGGGUCCCAAAUGCUUUGAAUUAGUAAAGACAGUAAAAAUGUUUUUCUAGAGGACAGCCCUGCUUGCAAGGUGCUGAAGGGGUCGGUCAGGACUUUCCCUUAGUGAUGACCACAGUGCUCUCUGCAAACACUUUCUGUCCUUGAGAAGCAACAGCCAGCAGGUAACCAGAGUUACACAGGAACCAUCCCCUGCCCCAUCCCCUUGCCCCAUUGGGCUUUCCCAUUAUCUGCAAGGGGAACGCAUGCUGCUCUUUGCAGCCCAGAGCUCAGUUGCUGUGGGGAUUAUCGACUAAGAGGUGGACUGGAAAAAGCCCUAAUCUCUUUCCUGCCAAACUUUGUGCUUAUCUACAAACCAAAAAGGCCAUGUUGGGUUGUGUAUUUUUUUUUUUUUUUUUUUUCCUUUUUCAAGACUUCAGUGAUUUAUGAGUUCCCAGAGUUACUGCUUUUUUUCUUUCUUCAUUUGCCACCUCUGCUGGCAUGGAGAAUGAGCCAGCUUCUCCUAAAAGAACAUCUCUCAUGAGGUCUGAGUAGCUUCAAGGAAUCUUUGGGUGUAUAAAAAUGACACAGAGGUGCUUUAGGUACUUCCUAGAGCAGUACAGCUCCAUGGGGCCUUCUCCUUCCAGCACACCCUUUACUGGGGUGCCAGUAUUGGGGAGAGAAAGAAAUUGGCUAUAAGAGAAGACAGAAGAGCAUCCUGCCUCCUUUUGCAGUGGGAGUCCAGAGACAAAGGAAACUUUGUCUUGCUUGAAAUAUAAGCAUGAAAAUGUAUGACUGUCUGCAGAAUCAUAGAAUGGCUUGAGUUGGAAGGGACCUCCAAGGUCAUUUAUUUCCAUUCCCCCUCUCAUGGGCUGGUUUCCCCCCACCAGAUCAGGCUGUCCAGGGCCCCAUCCAACCCGGCCUUCAACACCUACAAGAGUGGGGCAUCCACAUGGCCUGUCCUUCAGAACGUGCAGGGAUAAGAGAGCAGAAUUGAGAAUAUCCCACAUCCCAUGCCUUCCUGGUGAGACUGUCUCCUUGCAUGUAUUUCACUACCUUCCAUAGUACAGGUAUC